UGGGGAAUAUUGGACAAUGGGCGCAAGCCUGAUCCAGCCAUGCCGCGUGGGUGAAGAAGGCCUUCGGGUUGUAAAGCCCUUUUGUCCGGAAAGAAAAGCACGGGAUUAAUACCCUCGUGUGAUGACGGUACCGGAAGAAUAAGCACCGGCUAACUUCGUGCCAGCAGCCGCGGUAAUACGAAGGGUGCAAGCGUUACUCGGAAUUACUGGGCGUAAAGCGUGCGUAGGUGGUUUGUUAAGUCUGUCGUGAAAUCCCCGGGCUCAACCUGGGAAUGGCGAUGGAUACUGGCAAGCUAGAGUGAGGUAGAGGAGAGUGGAAUUCCCGGUGUAGCAGUGAAAUGCGUAGAGAUCGGGAGGAACAUCAGUUGCGAAGGCGGCUCUCUGGACCAUCACUGACACUGAGGCACGAAAGCGUGGGGAGCAAACAGG
rnacentral:rRNA from 1 species